AUGAAUGCUGGCGGCGUGUCUAAGGCAUGCAAGUCGAGCGGAUUAUUUUCUGUCGCAAGACAGGAGAUGAUCAGCGGCAAACGGGUGCGUAACACAUUGGUAACCUGCCUCGAAGUCGGGCAUAGCUAGCCGAAAGGCUAAUUAAUUCCACGAUGGUCAUCACGGCGUAAGGCCAUGAUGUAAAGUCGCAAGACGCUUCGAGAGGGGCCUAUGGCCUAUCAGCUUGUUGGUGAGGUAACGGCUCACCAAGGCUAUGACGGGUAGGGGAUGUGAGAGCAUGAUCCCCCUCACUGGGACUGAGACACUGCCCAGACACCUACGGGUGGCUGCAGUCGAGAAUAUUCGGCAAUGGGCGAAAGCCUGACCGAGCGACGCCGCGUGCAGGAUGAAGGCCUUCGGGUCGUAAACUGCUUUUAUCAGGGACGAAACAUGACGGUACCUGAAGAAUAAGAGGUUGCUAACUCUGU
rnacentral:rRNA from 1 species